rnacentral:rRNA from 1 species
UACGUAGGGGGCUAGCGUUAUCCGGAAUUACUGGGCGUAAAGGGUGCGUAGGUGGUUUCUUAAGUCAGAGGUGAAAGGCUACGGCUCAACCGUAGUAAGCCUUUGAAACUGGGAAACUUGAGUGCAGGAGAGGAGAGUGGAAUUCCUAGUGUAGCGGUGAAAUGCGUAGAUAUUAGGAGGAACACCAGUUGCGAAGGCGGCUCUCUGGACUGUAACUGACGCUGAGGCGCGAAAGCGUGGGGAGCAAACAGGAUUAGAUACCCUGGUAGUCCCUGAG